CUAUCUCAGGUUAAAAUUCCUCGACAUUGCAAUGGUUGAAGACCUAUAUAUGCAGUUUUCUACAUCAUUCAAACAUUUUUUUUAAAUAAACCAUAACACACAGCAGGAUUAUUCAACAACGAGACCGUUUACGCCCCUUAUGGUCACCUUUCGGGCGAAGGGUCUCUGUUCAAUUACAUAUUUCAGGCGAUAAAACACUGAAAUCCACGAUCUUCGCUUUCCAAAAUUCUGGGGCAGAUUUGUGUGAGUUACUUCUCUCCGAAACUGCGGCGAUGGGGAGUCAGGGCUGUCCGGCGUGCGGAGCUGGCGGCGGGGAUGCGCGCACACGUGGGCUGUCGCAUGCAGCGCAAUGGAAACAGCGGCGCAGCAGCAGCGUUCCGGCGCACGGAGGUCCACUUUAACGGAGCCGCUCCCGAGGCACAAAGUGUAAAGUACCUGUGACUCGUUCUAACACCUGGCACCUGGCCGAGCAAUACGAGCCCCUGAGCCACGCCCUUCUUGUCAUGCAGCUGUGCCCCAGCCCCUUCAGCAUACCUUGGGACAGUGACCAGUGCAUGCAGCGGAGCCAACCGUCUCAACCUCACACCACUGACCCCAGCGCAGACCGCAGCGCAGACCCCAGCGCAGACCCCAGGGCAGACCCCA